rnacentral:misc_RNA from 1 species
AACUUUUGACAACGGAUCACUAGGCUCUCGCAUCGAUGAAGAACGCAGCGAAAUGCGAUAAGUAAUGUGAAUUGCAGAAUUCAGUGAAUCAUCGAAUCUUUGAACGCACCUUGCACCCUUUGGAAUUCCGAAGGGUAUGCUCGUUUGAGUGUCAUUGUACUCUCACACUCUCUGAUCCUUUGGAUUCGGGGAGCGGUGGACUUGGGUGUUUGCUGCUUUUCCUUGUGGCUCACCUCAAAUUCGUUAGUGCACCUCCUGGUUGGACAUAGUACGGCGUGAUAAGUGUCUUCGCCGGCGCCUCGCAAGAGGGUGGCCGAUCGAGAGCUCUGUGCUUUCAAACCGUCUUCGGACAACAUCUGACAACUUGACCUCAAAUCGAGUAGGACUACCCGCUGAACUUAAGCAUAUCAAUAAGCGGAGGCU